GCUUCCGCUUCUACUGGUGAUAUGGGAAGGGCCCACUCACUGAACUAACUCCCUUCCCUCUACUCCCAGAGCCCGCCCGGCAGGACCACCGAGCAAGGCCUUGGAAAACCAGAGAGAUUAGAGCGCAGAAUGGGGAAAUGGAGAGAGAACCUGAAAGAGCCCCAAACUCGAGGACCUAUUGCUCCCCAAGAAUAACAUCUUCCAGAAGAACUAGACAGAAAACUAGGCGUCUGGGAACUCUGAAAUCCUUGGAGGAGUAGCAUCAUCAUGACCCUCUGUGUUCCUUUUGGCAAAGGACUUGCUCCCAUUGUUUGCUUGUUCCAUUGUCUGUCUGUUAAAUAAAUAAAACCCUUUUCAUAUAUCUUUAAA
rnacentral:lncRNA from 1 species